UCCCGCACCGCCCGACCAAGCCCCCAACCCGCACGAGACGAGAGCCGCCGCGUCCGCUGCGUCUUCGCCCGCGCCUUCUUCCUCCCUCCCUCGCUCGUUCCCCCGCCUCCCCGGCCUCGCCGAAACCCUAGCCCUGUAGCCCAGGCCCCGCCGCCGUAGAGGGAAGGAGAGAGCGGCGUCAGGAGGAGGGGGGGCGCCGAUGGGGAAGAAGAAGAAGCGCGUGGAGAAGGUCUUCUGCUACUACUGCGACCGCGAGUUCGACGACGAGAAGAUCCUCGUCCAGCACCAGAAGGCCAAGCACUUCAAGUGCCACGUCUGCCACAAGAAGCUCUCCACCGCCUCCGGCAUGGCCAUACACGUCCUCCAGGUCCACAAGGAGUCCGUCACAAAGGUUCCUAAUGCAAAGCCUGAUAGGGAGUCAACAGAUAUUGAGAUCUUUGGAAUGCAAGGAAUCCCUGCACAUGUAUUGGCUGCUCACUAUGGAGAAGAGGAAGAUCCUUCAGCAAAGGUAGCCAAAGUAGAAGUGCCGCAGGUAAGGCCUGUUAUUAUGCCUAAUUCGCUAGGCAUGGCAUUUCCUCCACGACCAGCUUAUGGUGUAGCACCUCCAAUCUAUAAUCCUGCACUGAAUCCUUUGAUGGCCCGACCUCCAAUUUGGCCUACUCCACCAGCACAAGCUUGGUAUCCACAACAAGUAGCAUACCCACAACAACCACCAGUUUCAGUUGCUCCAGUAGUUGCUGGGAUGCCACCACAACAGCCACUAUUUCCUAUUCAGAAUGUGCCUACUCCUAUGACAUCAGCACCUGCUAAUGUACUUCAGACAUCGUUUCCUAUGGCUCCUCCAGGAGUACCUUCACCUGUUGCCCCUCAGAUUUCCCAGCCUUUGUUUCCUGUUAACACUUCCGUUGUCAAUGGAGCUGCAAGUUCCCCAUUUGUAGCAUCUGUUGCACCUGGAACCAUCUCGGCAAGCUCUCCUCCAGCAGUUGGAUAUGGAGCCAAUAACCAAGGCACUGGUGGUCCAGCAGUUGGAUCUUCACCCGCAGUAUCCAAUAACAAAGCAUCUGGUACCCAGCCAGCUACAAAUGAGGUUUAUCUGGUGUGGGAUGAUGAAGCAAUGUCAAUGGAGGAAAGAAGGUUGUCGUUGCCCAAGUAUCAGGUGCAUGAUGAAACUAGCCAGGUAAGUUGUGUAUUUUAUGUUUAAACUAUUAUUUUAGUUUCUCAUACUUAAGUUCCCUGCUGUUCUGCAUUGAGUGAUAGAGAUAUGAUGUUUUGAUGCUUUCAACCAAUUCUUACGUAAAGUGUAUGCAUGGUAUUUGUAUCUUUUUUUUUGUGCUGUUCUCAUCUAGGCAGUUCAUUGUAGGGUGGUAGGAUAAAUGUUAAUAUUAGGCUGACAUUAUUAGCCAUGCAUGUUGCGUCAUGCGCUUGUGUGUAAGGAGUGAGUGAGUGAACAUCUUGGAAGGUUUCACUACUCUUGACUUGUUUAUUAUAUAGGAAUACGAACUUGUCCUUUUGUUUUCCUUGGUGAUACUAUGGACACAAUAGGUACAUUUGGUGAUACAGACAUUUCUUUUGUGCCUAACUUAAAUGGUAAAUUAAAAUAGCAUCUCAGUUUACAGCCAAUUCUUAUUUGUUCCGUGGAUAGAACUGCCACUUUCAUUUUCACUUAUUUUUUUGGCACAUGGAAAAUUAAAAUAGUAUUCUCAGUUUACCUACUCAGUUGUGAACUUACAGUCACAAGGGUAUGUUAUUCUUGAAUGUUUUGUGGGGAAUAUGAAAUAGGCUCAUCCAGUCAUAGCAAUGUUAGUCUGAGAUGAUUCGUGUUCUAUGCUACCUUUUUACAUUUUCACAAUGUCUCCGCUGUGUUUAUUUGAUUGAUCACCUAUAUCCUGCUGAUUUCGCGCACAUGAGGAGUUCCAAGUAGGUAUUUACAUUGUUCUUCCUAAUAGUAAGUUUUCUAUAAUCUGACAAAUCUCGUGGUGCUGUGAUAAUGACCUGAGGGUUAUCGACCAAGCCCUGGACGGUUGGCAAAUCUCAAAAUAGGUGGCUGAGGUUCUGCCAAUACGGUAGCAUUUAUUGUAGCUUAAUUUUGGUCGAGAAUGUGGCAAGAGUUUUGCUCCAGAUGAACUCAGUUGACGCAGCAAUUGAUCGAAGAAUAUCAGAAAGUCGGCUAGCAG